rnacentral:rRNA from 1 species
CGUGAGGGAAAGGCGAAAAGAACCCCGGCGAGGGGAGUGAAAAAGAACCUGAAACCGUGUACGUACAAGCAGUGGGAGCCCCACCACCAAAGCAUUCUCUGGUGUUGAAGGCCCUGCAAAGCAGCAUCGCGGUGGCGGAGCGUCGUUUGCGACGCCCAACACACAAAACAAGCGGUGAGUGCUUUGGGGUGGGGUGACUGCGUACCUUUUGUAUAAUGGGUCAGCGACUUAUAUUCUGUAGCAAGGUUAACCGAAUAGGGGAGCCGUAGGGAAACCGAGUCUUAACCGGGCGUUAAGUUGCAGGGUAUAGACCCGAAACCCGGUGAUCUAGCCAUGGGCAGGUUGA